AAAAACCCUAAAAGUCUAAAAGCAGCCGUGCUCUCUGCCUCUCCAAGCCGUUCUCUCUGUAUCCCUGAUGACCAUAGCCAUCUCUCCCACCCAUAACUGAGUCGUUACCCAUCAUAGCCAUCACAAAAUCUCCAAUGCCGCAGGCCAAGUUAAGCAGAAACCCAUUGAAGGUUAAGAAGAAAGAACAGAGUAGCCUUGCACCAUCGGUCUGCUAAUAAAAUCACUAUGAAACCCAACGAAGGUUAAGGAGAAAGAACAGAGUAGCCUUGCACCACUGGUCUGCUAGCAAAAUCACUACGGGUUCUAAACUGAUCAUUAACAUAUUAAAGGGAACAUCAAUAGUUAAGGCCACCAUAUGCCAAUCAAGUCUUCACAGUUUUGCUUUUGUUGGAGGAUUAUUAGCAAGUCCACAAAAUCAGGUAAAGGUAAAGGCAAAGGAAUAGAAGUGAGCACACCAAAUGAACAUACAUGGAUUUGGGUGUACAUGGCAUAUGAUUUAAGAAAUUGUAUAUUAAUUGCAUACAUAAUGCUACCUUCAGCAAAAUUAAUCAAAUAAUGUAGUAUGAAGUCCCAUAAAA